GCCAUGCCCUUUGGCUGAUGCCAUAAAACUUUCUCAAUUGAGUCACAAUCUUCCUCUUCAAGUUCUUCCUUUUGGCCCUUCUUUUGCUUGCUCUCAUCGAUUUCUUCACUUUCUUCACUCUCUGCAUAUGAAACCUUCCGAACUGACCGACGACUCGAAGUUCGGAUUUCACUAUUCCUGCCAGAUACACUAGCAGCAGAAGAUCUACCACUAUUUUUAAGGCGGAGAUUUGCAACUCUUCUAGGUUUAUUUCCAAAAUCCUCAUCACUCUCGUUUUCAGAAUCAUGUUCUGAUGAUUCUUCCUCUUCAUAUGAUGUUCUACCCCUUUUCUGUCGAGCAGAUGUAGCAAGAGACCUAACUACUCUGGUAGAUUUUACACUAUGCCCACCCCUAUUCUUUUGCUUGCCUUGGGAUUUUCUGUAAAAUUCUUCAUCUUCAUCGGAGAUGCCCACCUCAUCAUCGUCACUGUUGACCUCAUCAGACUCUCCACCCUCCCAGUCAUCAUCCUUGUCCUUGAUGCCCUUUCCACGGCCUGUGCUACCAUAGUCAGGAUCAUCUGGAUCAUCUUCAUCCUCACUGUCG
rnacentral:misc_RNA from 1 species